rnacentral:lncRNA from 1 species
UCUGAGCCGCAUCUGCAACCUACACCACAGCUCACGGCAAUGCCAGAUCCUUAACCCACUGAGCAAGGGCAGGGACCGAACCUGCAACCUCAUGGUUCCUAGUCAGAUUCGUUAACCACUGCGCCACGACGGGAAUUCCAUGUGCUUGCUAUUUCUGAAUAUGUCAGCCAUUCGUCCUUUAAAAUCAGGAAAAGCUGAGGAAGAUUACCUUCUCACCCAGACACAGUGGUGGGAAAUGCCUGAUGUCCAGCUACAAGAGUCUGGUACAGGCCUCAGCCCUGACUCCAGCAACUUUAAAUGAUGGCAGGGGGUAGAAACACAGCCAAGCAAGUUAACUGAAAGAAGAACGAAGCUAUGGAAUAACAGGCUUACUUGUAAAUAACUGCUGCUUCUUCUUCCUGGGAUUCCAGAUGAGGAGCUCUUGCCAAGGGUUUCAAAUCAAAACUACUUUCGUUAAAAUUCGUUUUCACUUUUAACCUUUAACAAGAUAACGUGUGAGAGGAUAUUUUGAAAAUAUUAGCUUGCAUUUAUACAGAAAUUACUGUUAUACACUGACUACUAUGUAUAUGGUGCAAAAUACCAUUACCUCAAACUGGUGUGCACUCUUGGUUUACUGUUUGAUGAAAACCUGCUAGGCAAAGUUUAAAGUACUCCCUAUGUCCUAGAACUUAUACUUUUUUUUGGUCUUUUUAGGGCCUCACCUGCAGCAUAUGGAGGAUUGGUCUGAUCUUGAUUUAAUCAGCAUAAGUUUUCCUAGAAAAUGUGGAUUUUGAAAUGUUUUGAGUGAAAGACAUUGGUAUGACAAACAUCUAGCUUAGGAGUAUAUAAAGCUUGACUAACAGAGGACAAAGGGUUCCCUGUGUUAAUGUAUCUGAGAAGGGCUAAUGCAGUGGCUCAUUUGUCUGCAGGAGCUUUCUUAAGCGAGACUAUCCUAGGGCAGAACUUUGAGGGUAAAUAGCAGGGGUACCAAGUGAUAAUGAAAAGGCUGGAAAAGAAGGGUAUCAUCCCAGUAGACCUUCUCAACUACAUCUCCUUUUGCUCAUCGCAAACUAAAAGUAUUAGUCGGCAAAUCCAAUGGCUUCUUCUCAGUUCUCUAUACUCUAAAGCAUCUGGCAUAGUGCCUGAUCCUUCUUGUCACUCCUUCCUCUCUGACAUCCACGGCAAAUCACAGACUGCUUCUGUCUCCUUUUCUGCAGGGAGCUGAGAAGAUGCAAAGAGCCGAGGAAGGGAGCUUGCCUGAACGGUUUGAUUCCGAGGGCAAACUCCUGAUCAGGAAUAGGGGCCUGUCUUAACGGUGCAAUUCCAAGGGCAGAUUCCUACACAAGGAGACGUCUGCCUGCACGGCGCAAUUCCGAGGACAGGCCCUACAAGACAAUAAGGCUUGCCUGCUGACAUUGGUGGGGAACUAAAUUUUCCAGGAAACAAUUUCCAUUUUGCGUUGCUGAGUGGGGAUUGUUCCAUGGAUGACUUGGUCUUUUCUGUUAUUCACUUGUUAUUCAGUUUUCCUCAAUCUUUCCUGAUUAUUUGCUUAUUAUUCUUAUUUUCCAUUCUUAUUUUCCUGUGAUGAUUUGUGAUUUAACAAAAUUACAAUAUAAUAAGAAUUUCAUCCUGAAGGACUUUCCCCUAUUUAAAUCCAACUUAAUUAAAAACAUAGUGUUUAUCUACUAACUACUUAUACAGUAAACUUUAGAGUUAGGAUUUUAAUGAGGUUUAUAGAAGUUAGACAUAUAUUAUUCAUAAUCAAAAGAAACCUAGCUAUGAGUUUUGUCCUUGAUUUUAGAAGCUUUUAAGUGAUAGCUAGUUAAGUUGAUUUGUAUUUUCUUAUAUUGUCUCCCUACCAUAAUGCUUUAAAGAUAAACACUAGUCUAAAAACAAGAUUUGUGAAUGCUAAACUCCUAUGUCUGUGAACUCUUCAACUUGUAAAGACUGGAUGGCCAUGGGAUGAUUUGUACUGAGUCUCCUCCUCUCCACAUGAUGUAUUGUACCUAACUGCCCUUAAAUUGUACUCACUAAAUUUAGUUAAGUUAAAGAUCUUAGAACAUGAUGUAUAGCUGCUGUACCAUGUAAAAGUUAAACAAUGUACUUUUAACACUGUGAUUUAAUCUAUAGUUAAAAACUGUCUAUAUAAACACUCAUCUAUGCCAAUAAAAUUUGAGCAGUUCAGUACCCUGAAAGAAGGGACAAAGAGACUAUCUCCGUGUGCAAUCGCUGACGCUUCCCCUCUCCUUUCAGGGUGUGCACUCCCUGGCAGCUGGAGGUGGCCUCUGGCACUAUUCUUCUUCCCACCUCCUAAAUUUUACAGCACAACCUCUUGUCUCAUAUUUUAUUUUCUUUUUUCCCAAUAUCCUCUCCUCACCCUAAAGCAUUCUGCUGCUCAUUUCCAAAGCGAACAACUCUUUAAUUUAGUUCUCCAGCCUCAAAUCUUCUUCUCUCUUGAGCUAUAGUCUCAUUUUUCCAACAACCUGUAAUACAUCUUUACCUGAUAGGACCACCAGUAUAUAGAACUC